CGCGGGCUUAACCUGCGGGCGUUCAGGGGAAACUGUAUUUCUAGGGACCGGGAGAGGUGAGAGGUACUGCCGGGGUAGGAGUGAAAUCCUGUAAUCCCGGUGGGACCACCUAUGGCGAAGGCAUCUCACCAGAACGGGUCCGACAGUGAGGGACGAAAGCUGGGGGAGCAAACCGGAUUAGAUACCCGGGUAGUCCCAGCUGUAAACGAUGCGCGUUAGGUGUGUCAGUGACCACGUGUCACUGAGGUGCCGAAGGGAAACCGUGAAACGCGCCGCCUGGGGAGUACGGUCGCAAGGCUGAAACUUAAAGGAAUUGGCGGGGGAGCACA
rnacentral:rRNA from 1 species